UACAGAGGUCUCGAGCGUUAGGCGGAAUCACUGGGCUUAAAGCGUGUGUAGGUGGAUGCCUAAGUACCUUGUGAAAUCCCACAGCUUAACUGUGGAACUGCUUGGUAUACUGGGUGUCUUGAGUCACUCAGGGGCGAGCGGAACAAAUGGUGGAGCGGUGAAAUGCGUAGAUAUCGGAAGGAACACCUGUGGCGAAAGCGGCUCACUGGACCAUUACUGACGCUGAUGCACGAAAGCUAGGGGAGCAAACAGG
rnacentral:rRNA from 1 species